rnacentral:rRNA from 1 species
CAGUAGCCGCGGUAAUACGAAGGGGGCUAGCGUUGUUCGGAAUUACUGGGCGUAAAGCGCACGUAGGCGGAUAUUUAAGUCAGGGGUGAAAUCCCAGAGCUCAACUCUGGAACUGCCUUUGAUACUGGGUAUCUUGAGUAUGGAAGAGGUAAGUGGAAUUCCGAGUGUAGAGGUGAAAUUCGUAGAUAUUCGGAGGAACACCAGUGGCGAAGGCGGCUUACUGGUCCAUUACUGACGCUGAGGUGCGAAAGCGUGGGGAGCAAACAGGAUUAGAUACCCCCGUAGUCCCUGUCUCUUAUAC